CUUGGCUCGGAUCUGGCAUUGCUGUGGCUGUGGCAUAGGCUGGCAGCCGUAGCUCCAAUUGGACCCCUAGCCUGGGAACCUCCGUAUGCCACGGGUGUGGCUCUAAAAAGACAAAAAGAAAAAAAAAAAAAAGAGAGAGAGAGAGAAAGAGAACAGAAAGCCACUCACUGUUCUAGCAGAAAGAAUUUAAAGGCCUACUACUCAAGGGUCUGGAUGCCUAAUUUAGUCUUCUAAAAUUGAACUGUGUCUUAUUCUCUGUCAUUUAUAAGACCUAGUUAAUGUUAUUUGGCAGUUUUGUUUAAUACGCCCUUUAUCCUUGUGUACUACCACAGCUACUUGGAAAAACUGAUAACGUGGUUAUCAGUACCUCUAAUGACAUUGCAAACCCCCUUGAACAUUCUGUAAUCUAGAAUUAAUCAUUGGUGAAUGACACCAGUGUUACUGCUUCUAAAUACCAUUUGCUUGUAUUGGGAUGGCUAUUUCUGCUGGAGUUUGGGUUCUGUUUUACUCUUUAAUGAAUUAGAUUCCAGAGGGUUGUUCAAACCCAAUUCUGAUGAGUCCAAAGUAGAUAGUAUCAGCCUCCUAUAUAUACACAUUUUGACGUAUAAACAGGAAACAUCAAUGACAUUGGAUUUUGCUUCUUUAUUUCUUCUCUUCAAACUCUUUAUGACUUACUUUUAAAAAAAAAUUCUUAUUAUUCUUGAUUUACAGUGUUCUGUCAAUUUCUGCUGUACUGCAAAGUGACCCAGUCAUAUAUAUAUUCUUUUUUUCACAUUAUCUUCCAUCAUGUUCCAUCACAAGUGAUCAGAUGUAGUUCCCUGGGCUAUACAACAGGAUCUCAUUGCCUAUUCACUCCAAAUGCAAUAGUUUGCAUCUACUAACCCCAAACUCCCAGUCCAUCCCACUCCCUGCCCCUCUUUCUUAGCAACCACAAGUCUGCUCUCCAAGUCCAUAAGUUUUUUUCAUUUCUGUAGAAAGGUUCAUUUGUGCCAUAUUUUAGAUUCCACGUAUAAGUAAUAUCAUAUGGUAUUUGUCUUUCUCUUUCUGACUUACUUCACUUAGUAUGAGAGUCUCUAGUUGCUUCCAUGCUGCUGCAAAUGGCAUUAUUUUGUUCGUUUUUAUGGCUGAGUAGUAUUCCAUUUCAUAUACGCACCACAUCUUCUGAAUCUGUUCAUCUAUUGUUGGACAUUUCGGUUGUUUCCAUGCCUUGGCUAUUGUGAAUAGUGCUGCAGUGAACAUAGGGGUACAUGUAUCUUUUUCAGUGAAAGCUUUGUCUGGCUGGAUCAUAUGGUAAUUCUGUGUUUAGUUUUCUGAGGAACUUCCAUACUGUUUUCCAUAGUGGUUGUACCAAUUUAUACUCCCACUGACACUGUAGGAGGGUUUCCUUUUCUCCACACCCUCUCCAGCAUUUAUUUGUAGACUUACUAACGAUGGCCAUUUUCACCAGUGGGUGAUUUACUUUUUAUCCUUCAAAACUGUUCCUGCUCUCAAACAAUCUAUCCUAUGUGGCAUGUAUCACAUUUGUCAUUUUCUUGACACUUUCACUUUUAAAAUGAUCUCUAUUUUUAUUUCAAUCCUAAUGACACAUCUUUUCUUACUAGCACUCUUAACAUUCUCAUUGCACUUGUACCUAACAGUCAUGCUGGGGUGAUUAAUGUUCUAAAACACCUUAAAACCAAGCAUUUACAGGAGUCCCCACUGUGGCACAACAGGAUUGGCAGCAUCUUUGCAAUGCUGGGAUUCAGGUUUGAUCCCCACCCCAGCACAGUGGGUUAGCAAUCUGGUGUAGGUCACAACUGUGGCUCAGAUCUGAUCCCUGGCCUGGGAACUCCAUAUGCCUUGGGUUGGCCAAAAAAAGAAACAAACAAACAAAAACAAGCAUUUACACACUGCAAACUAAAGAACUUAGAGGUACUAAGACUGGAAUUCCUAUUGUGGCUUAGCAGUAACGAACCCUACUCAUAUCCAUGAGGAUGCAGUUUCAGUCCCUGGCCUUGCUCAGUGGGUUAAAGGGUACGGCAUUACCGUGAGCUGUGGUGUAAGUCACAGAUGUGUCUUGGAUCUGGCAUUGCUGUGGCUGUGGCAUAGGCCGGCAAUUGCAGCUCCAAUUCGACCCCUAGCCUGGGAACCUCCAUAUGCCACACCUGUGGCCCUAAAAAGCAAACCCCCCCAAAAAGAGGACUAGUCAUUUUAGUCUUGGAGGGGGCAGAGUUUAUGCGGAGAUGCUUCCAGAUUGUUUAUAAGUCUAGCGCAUGGUUCUACAUCUGAUCCUUUUCUCCAUGAAUUGCAUGUGCCCCUGGUUGCACAAAUAACUUGAGAAGCAGAACUUUAAACAGAGCCACCGUGUAUUAGUCAUUCCCUGGUGCUUAGAAUAUGUGGAUACACAUGUGGUCUGAGAAGCUCAAAUCAUAAUAGGUCUUGCCAGUGUGGGAGGGGUGAGGGGAGGGGAAAAUGUCUAGGAUUGAAGGUCGGAUGCCCAGUUAAUAAUGGGGUAUUUCAGGAACUCCCACUCUAGCGCAAGGGGAUGAGUGGUGCUUUGGGAUCCCUGGGAUGUGGGUCUGAUCCCCUGCCAAGCACAGUGGGUUAAGGUUCUGGCAUUGCUACAGCUGUGGCUUAGGUCAUCACUGUGGCUCAGAUCUGAUCCCUGGUUCGGAAGUUCCAUAUGCCACAGGGCAGCCAAAAAUGGAAAAAAAUAAUUUUUUUAAAAUUAAAAAUAAUGAAAUAUUUCAUGUGUCCAGGAGAAAUUUGUUGAUGACCUGAACAGUGCAGGGAAGUUGGAGAGGAGAGCUGACAUUUGGGAAUCAAUUAGAUGCAGGAGAUCUAGGAGCUCAGGGAGACUUAGAUGUUUUUUAUGAGUCAGACCAAAUGGAUGACUAUGCCUCCAACCAAAAGAACAGAACCAAGGGGGAAAAUCAGAUUGAGAGUGGGUAGGAGGGAACUGGUGGUUUUAAUGACCUUGCAGGGGCAUGAAGAGUAAGUAAAAGGUGCAGAUGUGGAGACGGCAGAUGGAGAGAAGAAUGGAUGUGAGAGAGUGCCAAGACCAGUUCAGCAGGUGAGGGCUGAAGAAUGGGUGCUGUGAAACUUAAGGAAAAAGUUAACAUAAAACAAGACACAGAGACAUUUAUCUUAAUUAAACAUGGGAACUGGGGAACUCAAGGUCUCAGGGACCAAGAUCCCUGCCUUAAGAAACCACACUGCUUUUAUUGUGCUCUUUAGGAUCAUGUCAAGUGAGAAGGGGGUUUUAGGUGCAGGAUAUAGUUUUUUAUUUUUUUAUUUUAUUUUAUUUUAUUUUUGUCUUUUUUGUCUUUUGUUGUUGUUUGUUGUUGUUGUUGUUGUUGCUAUCUCUUGGGCCACUUCCGCGGCAUAUGGAGGUUCCCAGGCUAGGGGUUGAAUCGGAGCUGUAGCCACCGGCCUUCGCCAGAGCCACAGCAACGCAGGAUCCGAGCCGCAUCUGCAACCUACACCACAGCUCACGGCAACGGCAACGCCGGAUCCUUAACCCACUGAGCAAGGGCAGGGACCGAUCCCGCGACCUCAUGGUUCCUAGUUGGAUUCGUUAACCACUGCGCCACGACGGGAACUCCAGUUUUUUAUUAUUAUUAUUAUUUUAAAAGUCACAUAGCCCAUAGCUGGUUAAGCUUUUAUUCUGACCUUUAGGCAUUUAACAAUCAGCAUUGAGGAAGCUUGGCGUCAGCUAUCUAUGCAUAGCAUCUGGAGAAUCACCAUUGUGCUUCUGCAGACAGCCGUGCCUGGCGUGCCUAUCUGCAGGAACACUGCUGCGUGCCUAGGUUUGUACCUCAGUUCUCCUUGCUAAUACAUAUCUUGCUAACUAGACGGCUCAUAAACCCCUUGGGGCCAUGAGGCUCAUCUUCCUCUUAUUCUUUAGAGGACAUAUCAUGCUGUGCAAACCGAGUGCCUAUCUGCACAGAUCCAGCAUGCCUAGACCAACACAUUAUGUCCUCAUUCAGCUGACCAUGAAUAACUUAUGCCUUCAGGUCUUUGUUCUUAAGCUUAAGUCAUUUGCCAGCACUGCAACUAUUUUUCAAGCAGGAAUAUGCAGUAGAGUAAAGCAGGACAAGAUGGAGUUUUCAGCAUAGAAAAUAGAAGAAAAGAGGCUAGGAAAAUAUUGUAGAAACAUGUUUCCUGACAGGAGAGAUUUCUAGGCUGAAGAGAAGGAGCCAAAAUUGAGGGACAGAUUGAAUAUACAGGACAAAGGGACUAACUGAUGGACCAGGAGCCCAGAAGAGACUCCAGGGAACUAAGGACAGGGUAGCUGACCUUCCUCAGAGUCUGGAGAAAACAGAAAAUGUGCCAACGCCAAGUAACUUUCUGGGUGGACCCACAGAAAGUGUGGGUUUCACUGCUUGUUGCUUUACAUUCUCAGUGAAAGUGGAAGUCAAGGUCAUGCUCGGAGUGAGAAGGCUGCUUCCCAGAGACCUGUCCAUGUGCCUUAUCAAAACAUUUCUUACCCCUGUCCAAUCCUGACAUUCUUGAAGCAAGCUCUCUCCCUUGCUUCAUCCCUGCAACCUCCCUCCCUAUUUAUUCAUCAUUUUGCAUUAUCAUCUAGCUUCCCAGCUAUUGCUUCACACUCAGGAGAAAAAAGGCAGAAAAGGAGAAAAAGAGGGCAAAGGGUUGGGCUUUGAAGGUUUUGAAGAAGUCAUGAAGGGGAGUGGCAAAGAGUAUCUACAAAGACAAGAAAGAAUGAAUGGACAUUCAGUAGUGGGGAACCCAGCUGGAGACCAGGAAUUUGUAGUGCUCCAAACUCUCAUUUGGCAGUUUUCUCCAGAUGUGCAUAUGCAUGACAUGUGGGGUCAAUAUGAGAUUGAGCAAAAUCACUGCUAUAGAACUUCUGUGAUGAUGAAAGUGUUCUCAAUCAAUGCAGCCCAGUAUGGCAGCCACCAGCUAUUGGGACUGUGGUAUAUAGGCAUACCUCAGAGAUGUUGUACGAACAGACCACCACAAUAAAGUGAGCAUAACAAUAAAACGAGUCAUGAAUUUUUGGCUUCCCAGUGCAUAUAAAUUUUGUUACUGUAGUCUUUUAGGUAUGCAAUAGCAUC
rnacentral:lncRNA from 1 species